rnacentral:ncRNA from 1 species
GCAGAGUAGAUAACGAGGCGUUAAGUGCCUAGGUGAACGGGGAGUUGUCACCAGGACGAAGAGCGAUGUCUUGCGGUUUCGUUAUCGCAUCCCGCUGC